AUGAAACCAGGUAUGCUGUACCAGGAGCUUAAGAAAGCUCUUGGUAUGCCUGAUGGUGCCCUGCCCCCAUGGCUUACCAGGAUGCAGUUCGUUGGUCCUCCAACCUCUUAUCCUUAUCUGAAGAUCCCAGGUUUAAAUGCCCCAAUCUCUCGUGGAGACACUUUUGGUGAUGGACCCGAUGAGGAAGAACCUCUGGAUCGCAGCAAACACUGGGUAGAUUCGGACGACGAAGAGGAUGAAGAGGAAGAAGAGGAGGAGGAACUAAUUAUUCAUGGGGAAAUAGAAGAAGGCAUUAUGUCUGUUGACACCAUCUCAAGAGCAAGAGGAGCGGGAAGAUCGGCGGGGAAGGGAGCUAGCCAUUGUGGUUGUCUUGGAAGAAGAAGAGCAGGAAGAUGGACUUCAAGUUUUAGAAGAGUAUAG
rnacentral:rRNA from 1 species